GAAAAUUCCGCCAAGUAAACAACAAAGAAAGGGAUUUGGGAUGUUGUCAGUUGUAUGUAUACAUUAUGUGCGACGUUGACUGCAAGAAAAAAGGAAUGUGGAGCUAAUGCAUGCUGCUAAGGAUGAAAAGGUCUUGUGUUUAUUGGUUGUGCCUAAGUCACCAGUCACAGGUGUACCUUAUUUCUGGUAAUGGAGUCUAUAUACAUUUGAGGUGAGCGGCAGAUUUAAUUUUGAAGAUGGGUGACUUUCAGAUGUUGUGAUGAAGAUUGUUGAAAGGGAUUAUCAGCAUAGAACCAAUCCAUAUGAAUGUGCAAGUCAGGACUUGUACAACACCUGAGUACCUAGAUGACUGUUGAACUAAUUGGUGAACAAGAAAAGAUGUCAGAGAGGGGAAUCCAAUACAGAUGUCAUGAUCAAGAAUAUAUACUCUUAUCAAUGAUAUGAUCAAGAAUAUGUAAAUUUGUAACGAUUUAAAAUGUCUUAUCUGUAAAUUACUCUUCAUUACUUAAUUGUUCAUACAUUAUCAUCUACACUUAUGCUAUAAAUCUUAUCUGUAUAUUAAUCGCCCCCUCUUAUCUAACCCCCUGCUGAUUGUAAUGACCUGUGUAUUGACUCCUGAUCUUAAGGAUCUUGUAAUGUGCUCCUGAUAGUCAGGAACGGAUCUUGAGUAUAUAUAUAGUGCGACAGAAUUUUAGAAUAAGAUAGAAAAUGAAAAUAUAGAAGACUUAGUAGAUAGAACUGUUAGAGAUAGAUAAAGUUACUCACUUACUUGGACUAUUACCUAAUAUUUCUUGGAUUUAUAUGUACAUGUGAUUGUUUUACUUGGAUUUUAUUUUUUGUGAAUUAUUUUUCCUGAAUGUUUCUAUUUAUGAUGUGCUCUGUAAGUAAACUGUAGACUAGAAUUUCGGCAUCUAUUUUCAAGAUCUGAGGAACAAGGAUAAAUUAAUUUAUUUAUGCAAACUGACAUUAUGAAAUGUGUUGUAAGACCGCUCGGUGCGGCGCUACAAACUAACUAGGAAAUAUCUUGGAGAUUUAUAGUUGAACAUGCAAGCAUUCAUGAUUUU